UGUAGAUGCUAGAUGGUGCUUGUCAGUGCACGGACCUAGCAGACCAGAUCAUCAAAUUGCUAGGGUCCUGUCAUCAUGGGCAAUUGCUCUGGUUCCAUUAGUUGGUGAGAGACGGAUGACUUGGUAGCUCCACCCCAGCCUUAUCGAGCCAAUGGCUGACAGAAAAUGGAAGAGCGGCAUGCUAUACUCUCUUUCAAAUUGGGUUGCACACCCUUCCUCUAGCAUAAAUUUAU
rnacentral:lncRNA from 1 species